AUGUAUUUAUCUGCACAUUCGUAACCUCUCUCUAUCUUUACUUCUGCCAAUUUGUUCACUGCCAUGCUGCUAAAUAAUUUUUUAAAAAUUAUAGCAUGCGAUCUUGGUUCAGUUUUCACUUAAUACCAUACACUUAAUGGGCUACAGUUUUAGUUGAAGUGUAUUUUAAUGUUUCUUGCUCUUGUAAAGUUUGGAAGAUGAUACUAAAAAGCAUCAAAGUCCUUAAAUGAAGAUAAAGAAAACAAGAAAAACAAGCUGAUAGCCAGACAACUGUCUACAGGAAAGAGCAAGCAAGUGUCUAGCCAAGCUAAAAAGCAAGCGAGAACAUCUAAACUCUACCAACAAAAGAGGAAAGUUUUUCGACUGGUAGAAACUAACGAUAAAUUGGGUUCACUGUCCUCCAUACCAAAGGUAGUUUUAAGUAUCACUGAUAUUAAUGCACCAACAACAGGAACGACCGCAAAAUCUGUAACUUCUCCCUCUUGUGUUGUGCCACUACAAGAAAGUAAUUCUAAAGUAAACAUCAUCUCUACCAGUUCAAGUGUAACUGAAAUCAAAAGCGGUCUCACAGUCAACAACAAACCAGUCAGCCUGAUAUCAGCCCCUAUAAUGGCAACCAGCAUAACACCAACUAUACCUGUUCAAAAUUUUGCUCACAACUCAAAUGUCGGGACGUACAUUCUAUCCAACGGACAACUGAUGGCAGUUCAGCAGCCAGCGCAUAUUAUACCUCAAAUAGCACCUCAGAUCUUGAUCAAUCGCCCUGUGACCCCGAUUCUUCUGAUGCAAAACAACAAUAACAUUAAUAGCCAACCCAUAAUUAUCCAAAAUCAUAAUCGCACUCGCGAACCGUUGGCAAAUAAUUGCAGGCCUAUUUAUCCGAAAACGAAACGUGAAAUCACCAGGACAACUUUUAGCUCGCAGAAACCCAUCCCUUCUUUGAAUCUCACCUUUAGUAGCAUAAAAUGCACAAAAGAAAUGAGAACUGAAAUGAUAAGUGGAGGAAAGCAAAAUAGGAACAAGAGACAAAAUUCAAAAUUGGCUACCUUAAAGAAAUUGUCGAAGGAUAAUAUAAAAAAUAGGAAUAAUAGUAGCAAAGAAAAACUUAUGGCAAAAAUGGAUAAAGAGACGUCUGUUCAUAAAAUUAAAAGGUUUGAAAGAAUUAACUUGAUGAAAAUUAAACUUCGAAAGAGGAAACGAAAAAGUCCGAAACAUAUCUUACUUAAUAAGUCUGCAAAUCAUGGAAGUGUGACUAGUCACUUAUCAAGUAAAAGAACUAGUUCAUCACAAAGUCAUGAAUUAAUCGUAAGAAAGAAAUCUAAUUUAGGUUCCUCAAGUAGACAGGAAAGUACAACGCAAGUAAAUAAAGUCCAAAUUUCGAAGAGAAUCUCGAAUAAUUCUGAUGCUACUUGUGGAAGUCAAUCAUCGACAAUUGUGACUUCCUCAAUUGAAUCUUGUGAUUUUAUAAAUACGUCAAAAAGUGUGGUGUCUCUUAGUUUAAGUCCUAAAGGUGCUUUUUCAAGUGAUUCUAUUUUAAGUAAAAAUUUAUUUCCAGAAACUGGUGAAAAAGUCAGUUGUGAUUCGCAGUUAAAAACAAACUCGAACGCCACAGAGGCAUUGACUUCCUCUCAGAUUCAAAGUUAUUCUGCUCAGAACACAAAUAAUUCUUUUAAUUUUGAUCCAAAGUUAGUUGAAACCUUCAAUUUUAACAGUGGCAAAGACGUUUUAACUCAACUGGGUACAUAUGAAAAGAACUCUUUUUUGCCUAUACUACCCCCAUACCUGGAGGAUGUCCGAGAAUUUUCGUCAGAUAUUCUAUCUUCUCUCCAGAUUCCUUCCAAUUUGCACAACUCAGAGUCUUUAUCUCCUACUGCUGCAUUUUUAUUAUCUUUCCCUCUCGUUUCUACCUCUAAAAAUUCUGAGCUACUCAACGAAAAUGAAAAUGAACUCUCCUGUGAGAGCCAAAAUGAUAAUUCCACUUCUAUUAUGCAAAUCGGCAGCCUAGAAUCUCCGUCAUCUGCAAUAAUUGAAGGACAAGCAGUUUUAUUUGAUCAGCAGUUUGCGCAAAUACCUAAACCUAAUUGGCUGUCGAAGAGUUGUGACAAAAUUGAAUCAAAUCAGAAAUACAAUGAAAAUUUAAGUUUUGACAGCUCAAAUAUCACUCCUGUUCAUGCAUCAAACCAUCCAAACAAAAAGAGUUCAGUUUUUGGUGACUCGCCAUGUAAAGCUGUAAGCUCUAAGAAUAAAACAGAUUCAUCUAACGGUUCAAAUCAGCAUGCUGGUAAAAAUUCGCAAACAUUAAUUGAUAAAAUUUCACCUGGUAAAAAAGCCAACAUCCCUGCAACUUCCAGUACCGCUGAUGAUACAAGACAAAAUGUGUCCACGAAGCUCAGUUCAUCAGCGCAGACCGUCACUACCUGCACCACCAAGGAACUUCCGAAAUCUCUUUCGGCUGUUAGCAAUAAUUUGUUGCCAGUUUUUUCUGAGUUGUAUUGUUCUAAAACUGAUAAAACAGCUUGCUUAGAACUCUCUCCGAAAUCUGGAGAAAGAUUCAUUGAAAAUUCCCGGAAACCUUCGGAGAAAAUCAAAAGCAAAGAUAAUACCCUGAACGCUAGAGCAUUUGAAUUAAGCUCUGCAAACAACUCUGAUGUUACUAAAACUAUUUCCAAAAACUGCAAAGAAAAAAUCAAUUCAAGUACUGUGAAUGAAAAUGGUUCCAACAACAAGUCCCUCGUCAACUGGAUGACGACCCCAGAUGUGCGUUUGCAUGGUAUUGAACAAUUCAGUAAUUCAGAGCUAUUCCCGUAUCAAAAUUUCGACUUUCUGGCCUCGUCUACUAUUGCAUGUAGCUCAUACUCCACUUCAUUCACUACGACCAAUAUAGACCAACUUUUUGAAUAUUCGUCAACCACUGACAACAAUAAACUCUACAACCCUAACUACCCAGCAGUUUUGAAUCAAACAAAUGUUUGGUCCCCCAGUAAAAGCUCGCUUCCUCAUCAUAUCGUUGGAACGCAUACAGAUAACAAUUUCAUAAUACCAUCCACUCUGCCAACAUUGAUAGGUGAUUUAGCUUUGGGCACCAACACGACUCCUUUCGUGGAUGCCUUCAAAGUAGCGUCUUUUGAGGCUGUGUCUGAUAAUUAUACUGGGCAAAAAAUUGGUGAGCCACCGAUCAAUGACAAUCUUAAAUCCUAUGAUAGAUCUGAAAACAACCAAAAAAAUCAAGUCAGCACAAAUGAAAAUCAGUCGGGGGCCAGGAGUAAAAUUAAAGAAAACAUCAAUCAGCACCCAUGUUUUGAAAGUAAACAAAGUGCUCCUGCGGCAAAGAGUCAGCAACCCAACAAAUUAGCUGCACUCAAAAAAUCAGAGUCCAGUGACAAAUCUCAACAAACAAGUGCCACCAAUUUCCUGUCUGUAAGUCAAUUAGUCGACCAAAAUCAAGUAAAAUCACAUGAAAUACAAGAUAAUCAAGUCAUGUCUGGGAGCAAACGAAACCUCACCCAUCAGAAGCAGCAAAAUAAAAACAGCGCUAAUAACUUUAAUAACUUUAGCAACAAUACUAGUGAAAAAUACGACCCCAAACAUCGUUUAAUUAAAAGAGGAACAGCAACUUUGAAUAACGGCCACAAUGAAAAUUUUGUUAAUGGCAACGGUCAACGAGUUUUUAAUCAGCAUUCCGUUGUCAGCAAAACAGAGAGUGUCAAUAAUUGCUGGCAGCAUCAAAGUGCAAAAGAGUCGUCCAGCCUUGACACAGGUUUCAAGUCAAAUAAUUACAGCACUGAGUCACUACUGAACAGCGGGAAUAAUCACUCUCAAGUUAUGAACUUCACUGCUAUCUCAGAUUUUCACAAUACUCCAAACUACUCAAUGGACAAAAGUGCAAAGCUUCAAUCUUCGAGUGUCAGUAACUUCUUCAUUCCUCCUGCUCAGCCGUAUCAGAGUAAUCAGCAACAGCUGAUAACCACAAUUCCUGAUAGUAACCCCUUCGGAGAAUCAUUCCAAUUUUCAAACCAGAGCUACCGAGCUGACGCAAGCAUCAGCAAUGAGAAACCAAGAUCGGAUUAUAACGCCCCUGCUUCCUCUUCAAUGAAUUGUCUUCUUUCGAACAAAAAUCCAAGCAUUUCAAAAUCGGAAUUUGCUGUUAAUUUUUAUCCGACAACUUACUCAUCCUCAGCGCCUACUAAAAAUUCAAAAGAGAGGAGAACAUCUUGCAGACAGGUUGCUGAUCAAAAGCAUCCAUCAAACGUCGAGCUGAAUCAUGGAAUCGGCUCACACAUCUCCCCUCCCUUUCCUAGACCCUCUCUUGCUUCAAGUUUUUCUGUUUCUAAUGCUGCACUGACAGGUCCAAUUUAUACCAAUACAUCAUCAUCUUCAUGUGCAAACAAGGUAGAAAAGCAACCUGUCUACUAUCCAAAUGAAAAUAUUCGUAAACCAUGCGUCUCAAUCUCGGAUUAUGCUCCUUUUGAUGACUGCAAUUUUAAAACUCCUCAAAAUCCGCUGUCAAUCACUAACGCUUUCGUCCCUCCGUCUUCUAACAAUGCCACUUUAUUCCUGUCGUCCACGUCGAUACCUACUAAUGUUCUACCAUCAAAUUUCAACAGUAACAGUAAGAGUUUCCCCUUCUUAACUCCAGUUGUUUCGACUCAUUCACUCUCUGUCAGUACGAAUAACAUGCCCUAUUAUACCUCCUCAACUGCUUCGAAUAGUACAUCUAUUUCCACUAUAAACACUAACUUCACUGUAGCGUCAAACACCAUCACAGUUAGCGAAGUUUCAGUAUGCAGCAGUGCUACUGCUUCAAAUUAUCUUCCUCCUUUUAUCGGGUCGAGCACUACAAUAUCUAGUCCCACUGUAAGCUUUUCCCACUAUCUCUCACCAGUAAUUACAACUUCUAAAAACACGAAGCGGACUUCAAGUUGCUCAGUAUCUAAAUCGGUUACUAGUUCUGGCGCCGCAACAUAUCUACCACCAAUAAUUUCAACAGCUUCCAUCUCUAGUAACACAAAUAAAAUUUCCUCCUAUCUUCCUCCAGUCAUUUCCACAAGUUCCUUAGCCUCAACUCGAAAUAAUACAGUAGCAAACUAUUUACCUAAUAUUAUUCCAUCAUCAAGCUCUGCCGAUAAAAACCGCUUGUCAAACUAUUUGUCUCCUGUUAUUCCGACCACCAACACCCUUAGUAACAACAAUUUAACAAAUUAUUUGCCUUCUGUUUUACCUGCUGUUAAUGAUGCUUCGCUUUACUUACCGCUCACCAGUAUCAGCACAACCGGGUCAAGUGUUUCGACUCAAGAUAUCAAUUCAUCUUCAUCGUCCUAUGUAUUAUCCACACCCACUAACACGAAAUUAAACGCUCCCUCAACCCAAGAUAAAUUUGCACAUAAUAAUACACCAUCAUAUCAACCCUACAUUUCGGAUGUACCAACAAGUAAUAGUGGUGUAUUGAAUGGACCAACCACAAACCAUUUACCUGUUUUUUCAAACAAGACAAGUGAUCCUGCGGUUAGCUCAAGCUAUUUACCGGUGUUUUCGAACACAGCUGGGGUCACUUCAUCUUCCACUUACCUACCAAUAUUUUCAAACAGUCCAUCAGAUCUGCCGAUGAUGUCAUCAAGUUAUCUUUCCUUGCCAACCAGUAAUCAGGGUCCUAAUUCGGUUUCAACGCUAAACUCAGCAUACACCUCAAACUAUUUGCCUUCUUCAAGCUUUUCCUCCAGCAAUUAUUUCACUGUCAACUUGAACGCAGCUGUGCCUCACGAUUCACAAAUAUCUAACUCAACCGCAAAUUUCAUCUCUUACUCUGCUCCAUACACUGUAGCUAAUACACCAUGCAGCUCUACAGACGUUCAGUGUUCAUCCAAUUUCUCAAUAUCCUCACCUGCCGCCUCUCGAUCCUCAAAUAAAUCCUCCAAAACCUCCCCAGGCUCCUGCAAAACUUUUGUGUCCGCUAAAAAGGCACCCAACAGCGCUGAAGUCCUCAAUUCAGAGGCUAAAAAAGUGCAUUCUACAAACCAAAAGCUCAAUCAAGAGGAUACUAGUUUGAGAACAAGCAAUAAGGAGAAUUCUUCCACUAAAGCUGUACUGAAAUCGUGUAACCCAUGUGUAGUAAGCAAAGGUACGAGUUUUCCAAACAGCAGCUGCAUCUCUAAUAAUCUGAAUAAUCAAAGCACCUUAUCCUCCAAUCAAAUUGAAUCACCAGCAAUGUUUGAAACUUAUAAACCUGCUUUAAUCCAUCAAAUCGGAGGAAAUUAUGCAGCAGAACAUUCCAGUGCAAUGAAUGUCAAAGGUGUCGCAACCUCUAUUUCCUCCAAAACUAGUUUGGCUCCUCCAAUGCUCCCGCUUAACUCCGGGAGCACCCCGUCAAAUAAUUUUAGUUGUAUUUAUUCAACGUCAGAUAGCAUCUCCUAUCAGCCUAUAAAUCUACCGAAUACCUUCCAAAACCGGCCAGAGUUUGUAGAUCAAGUCAACAUUGGUCCGUCAUCGAGUUUCAACAAUGAUACUGCCAUCAACUCAAUUAAAAUGACGCCUACAAGUCAAAAAUAUGUGCCAUCAAAUGAGCAGUUAAUUUACAAUGCGACAGCCAACUCUGGAUCUUCAACUUUAACGAACUUCAACUUAAGUGCUAUUCUUCCGGAGAUGAAUGACAAGCUAAGGUGCCAUACCUCAUCAAAUAGUUCUUGCAUCACAAGGGGACUUUCAGAGCAGUCAUCCUUUGGAAAAUAUGACUUUUAUCAAUAUCCAGAAAAGAAGGCCCAUCCUCUAACAGACAAAAAAGUACAUCAAAUGCAGCAUGCAAGUCAAACUGUGCCUCCUAAUCAAUUCAAUUUGAGUAGUAAGUCUAGCUCCUCCUCAUUUCAAAAUAAUUUGGAUACAUCAUGA
rnacentral:lncRNA from 1 species